AAAUUGAUAGGAAUUUAAUUGAAAACGAGCAAGCGAAUCAGUUCAGUCCGUUGAAUUCAAUCAAAACGACCUAAAUAAGAGGAAGAGAAGAAAGCAAUUUAGAUCUUAACAUGGCGCCUGUUGGUCCUCGAUCCGGUGAUGCUAUCUUCGCCAACAUGGAACGCGUGAAUGCUGAGCUUUUUACCUUAACUUAUGGCGCCACCGUGCGUCAGUUACUCACGGAUCUGGAAGAGGUCGACGAAGUUAACAAACAGCUCGAUCAAAUGUACG